rnacentral:rRNA from 1 species
UACAGAGGUCUCAAGCGUUGUUCGGAUUCAUUGGGCGUAAAGGGUGCGUAGGCGGCGCGGUAAGUCGGGUGUGAAAUCCCGAGGCUCAACCUCGGAACUGCCUUCGAUACUGCGGGUCUCGAGUCCGGGAGAGGUGAGUGGAAUUCCUAGUGUAGAGGUGAAAUUCGUAGAUAUUAGGAAGAACACCAGUGGCGAAGGCGGCUCACUGGCCCGGUACUGACGCUGAGGCGCGAAAGCGUGGGGAGCAAACAGG